rnacentral:sRNA from 1 species
GAGCCCCCAAUGAGCCACCUCUCCUCACCCCCCAAAAAACAUAAGGGGGAGCGCAAAGGCCACAGUCUCCCCCAUGGUUCAGAAAGGGGUAGCUCCUCCCGGGACAAGGACCGAAGUGCGACGGUCAGUAGUUCAGUGCCCAUGCCUGCUGGAGGGAAGGGAAGCCAUCCUUCAUCUACACCCCAGAGGGUCCCCAACCGCCUGAUCCACGAGAAGUCACCAUACCUCCUACAACAUGCCUACAAUCCUGUGGACUGGUGAGCACCUCUCCUGGGGCCCUGCCUGGAAUCGCUGGGGUCCUGGGCCCCUCCCAGACCCCCUGGGCUACUGAGUGAUGCCCCACCCUGCUGGGUCUAGGUACCCCUGGGGACAGGAAGCCUUCGACAAGGCCAGGAAGGAAAACAAGCCGAUUUUCCUCUCAGUCGGGUACUCCACCUGCCACUGGUGCCACAUGAUGGAAGAGGAGUCCUUCCAGAAUGAGGAGAUCGGCCGCCUGCUCAGUGAGGACUUUGUGAGUGUGAAGGUAGACCGUGAGGAGCGGCCUGACGUGGACAAGGUGUACAUGAUGUUCGUGCAGGUGAGCAGCCCUCCUCGGGAGUGUAUGCGCCACAUGGGCUCAGAGCAGCUCCCCUCACCCUCGCCCUCUCUCCGCCAGGCCACCAGCAGCGGCGGGGGCUGGCCCAUGAAUGUGUGGCUGACUCCCAACCUCCAGCCCUUUGUCGGGGGCACCUAUUUCCCUCCUGAGGAUGGCUUGACCCGAGUCGGCUUCCGCACAGUGUUGCUGAGAAUACGAGAACAGUGGAAACAGAACAAGAACACCCUGCUAGAAAAUAGCCAGCGUGUCACCACUGCCCUGCUGGCCCGAUCAGAGAUCAGCGUGGGUGACCGCCAGCUGCCGCCCUCUGCCGCCACCGUGAACAAUC